rnacentral:lncRNA from 1 species
CUUGCCCAAUAUAAUGCUGUACUCCAUUAGAAUGCAAAUCUAAAUGGUGACUUAUGCUGUCUUCCUUUUAGUGAUUGUGAUUUAUGGCAAAAGUUACCACUUAAAUGGCAGAGGAUGCGGCCAAAUUUAGGAAACUCUCCUUUGUGGAGGGAGAAAGUCACCACACCACCAUAGUUUGAGUUAAAGUGGUAUGUGAUUCCAUUUUUAUUUUUUGAUCAUGUUUCUGUUGCCAGGAUGCAUAUGCUAUUAUUCUUUUUUAAUUCUUUCACAAGUUAUUCUCACAAUAUUCUUUAAUUCAUAGUGAAACUAGUCUUUAGGAAGUAACAUAAAAUCCGACCAUAUAAAAUAUUCC